GACGAACGCUGGCGGCGUGCCUAAUACAUGCAAGUAGAACGCUGAAGGAGGAGCUUGCUUCUCCGGAUGAGUUGCGAACGGGUGAGUAACGCGUAGGUAACCUGCCUGGUAGCGGGGGAUAACUAUUGGAAACGAUAGCUAAUACCGCAUAAGAGUAGAUGUUGCAUGACAUUUGCUUAAAAGGUGCAAUUGCACCACUACCAGAUGGACCUGCGUUGUAUUAGCUAGUUGGUGGGGUAACGGCUCACCAAGGCGACGAUACAUAGCCGACCUGAGAGGGUGAUCGGCCACACUGGGACUGAGACACGGCCCAGACUCCUACGGGAGGCAGCAGUAGGGAAUCUUCGGCAAUGGACGGAAGUCUGACCGAGCAACGCCGCGUGAGUGAAGAAGGUUUUCGGAUCGUAAAGCUCUGUUGUAAGAGAAGAACGAGUGUGAGAGUGGAAAGUUCACACUGUGA
rnacentral:rRNA from 1 species